GAUGAACGCUGGCGGCGUGCCUAACACAUGCAAGUCGAGCGAACCCUUCGGGGUGAGCGGCGGACGGGUGAGUAACGCGUGGGUAACCUGCCCUAUACACACGGAUAACGUACCGAAAGGUACGCUAAUACGAGAUAAUAUAUUUUUAUCGCAUGGUAGAAAUAUCAAAGCUCCGGCGGUAUAGGAUGGACCCGCGUCUGAUUAGCUAGUUGGUAAGGUAAUGGCUUACCAAGGCGACGAUCAGUAGCCGACCUGAGAGGGUGAUCGGCCACAUUGGAACUGAGACACGGUCCAAACUCCUACGGGAGGCAGCAGUGGGGAAUAUUGCACAAUGGGCGAAAGCCUGAUGCAGCAACGCCGCGUGAGCGAUGAAGGCCUUCGGGUCGUAAAGCUCUGUCCUCAAGGAAGAUAAUGACGGUACUUGAGGAGGAAGCCCCGGCUAACUACGUGCCAGCAGCCGCGGUAAUACGUAGGGGGCUAGCGUUAUCCGGAAUUACUGGGCGUAAAGGGUGCGUAGGUGGUUUCUUAAGUCAGAGGUGAAAGGCUACGGCUCAACCGUAGUAAGCCUUUGAAACUGAGAAACUUGAGUGCAGGAGAGGAGAGUAGAAUUCCUAGUGUAGCGGUGAAAUGCGUAGAUAUUAGGAGGAAUACCAGUUGCGAAGGCGGCUCUCUGGACUGUAACUGACACUGAGGCACGAAAGCGUGGGGAGCAAACAGG
rnacentral:rRNA from 1 species